GGCUGUGAUGGGGUUGAGGCAGAGAGAUGAAGGGAGCUGGGGCUGUGAUGGGGUUGAGGCAGGGAGAGGAGGGGAGCUGGGGCUGUGAUGGGGUUGAGGCAGAGAGAGGAAGGGAGCUGGGGCUGUGAUGGGGUUGAGGCAGCGAGAGGAAGGGAGCUGGGGCAGUGAUGGGGUUGAGGCAGGGAGAGGAGAGGAAGGGAGCUGGGGCCGUAAUGGGGUUGAGGCAGGGAGAGGAAGGGAGCUGGGGCCGUGAUGGGGUUUAGGCAGGGAGAGGAAGGGAGCUGGGGCCGUGAUGGGGUUGAGGCGGGGAGAAGAAGGGAGCUGGGGCUGUGAUGGGGUUGAGGCAUGGAGAAGAAGGGAGCUGGGGCUGUGAUGGGGUUGAGGCAUGGAGAGGAAGGGAGCUGUGGCUGUGAUGGGUUGAGGCAGGGAGAGGAAGGGAGCUGGGGCUCUGAUAUGGUUGAGGCAGGGAGAGGAAGGGAUCUGGGGCCGUGAUGGGGUUGAGGCGGGGAGAAGAAGGGAGCUGGGGCUGUGAUGGGGUUGAGGCAUGGAGAAGAAGGGAGCUGGGGCUGUGAUGGGGUUGAGGCAUGGAGAGGAAGGGAGCUGUGGCUGUGAUGGGUUGAGGCAGGGAGAGGAAGGGAGCUGGGGCUCUGAUAUGGUUGAGGCAGGAAGGGGAGGGGUGGUGGUCUCUGAUGGGGUUGAGGCAGGAAGGGGAGGGGAAGUGGGGCUCUGAUGGGGUUGAGGAAGGGAGAGGAAGGGAGCUGGGGCUGUGAUGAGGUUGAGGCAGAGAGAGGAAGGGAGCUGGGGCUGUGAUGGGGUUGAGGCAGCGAGAGGAAGGGAGCUGGGGCAGUGAUGGGGUUGAGGCAGGGAGAGGAGAGGAAGGGAGCUGGGGCCGUAAUGGGGUUGAGGCAGGGAGAGGAAGGGAGCUGGGGCCGUGAUGGGGUUUAGGCAGGGAGAGGAAGGGAGCUGGGGCCGUGAUGGGGUUGAGGCGGGGAGAAGAAGGGAGCUGGGGCUGUGAUGGGGUUGAGGCAUGGAGAAGAAGGGAGCUGGGGCUGUGAUGGGGUUGAGGCAUGGAGAGGAAGGGAGCUGUGGCUGUGAUGGGUUGAGGCAGGGAGAGGAAGGGAGCUGGGGCUCUGAUAUGGUUGAG
ensembl:lncRNA